GACGAACGCUGGCGGCGCGCCUAACACAUGCAAGUCGAACGGAGAAAUGCUAAGCUUGCUUUGCAUUUCUUAGUGGCGGACGGGUGAGUAACACGUGAGCAACCUGCCUUUGUGAGGGGAAUAACGUCUGGAAACGGACGCUAAUACCGCAUAACGUCAAGGAACCGCAUGGUUUUUUGACCAAAGAUUUUAUCGCACAAAGAUGGGCUCGCGGCUGAUUAGCUAGUUGGCGGGGUAACGGCCCACCAAGGCGACGAUCAGUAGCCGGACUGAGAGGUUGAUCGGCCACAUUGGGACUGAGACACGGCCCAGACUCCUACGGGAGGCAGCAGUGGGGGAUAUUGCACAAUGGGGGAAACCCUGAUGCAGCGACGCCGCGUGAGGGAAGAC
rnacentral:rRNA from 1 species